CCGCGCUGCGUACGGGCCCCCAGCACCGCGUGCGGAUCGUGGUGGCGGCCCUCCAGCAGCCGGGCCCGUUCCUCCGCGGGCAGCGCGGG
rnacentral:tRNA from 1 species